rnacentral:rRNA from 1 species
UAAAACCUGCUCAAUGAUAAUAUUCAAUAGCCGCAAAAUUUUAUGUGCUAAGGUAGCAUAAUCAUUUGUUUUUUAAUUAAAAACUAGAAUGAAAGGUUAUACAUUCAAAUUUCUUUAUUAAUUUUUAAUAAAUAAUUUAUAUUAAAUAUAAAAAUAUAUUUAUAAAAAAAAUAGACGACAAGACCCUAUUAAAUUUUACUUAUAGUUUAGCUGGGGAAGCUUUUCAAUUAAAAUUUUUUAAAAUUUUAAAAUAAAUAUCUAAUUAAAAUUAAAAUUUAAAUAAAUUACUAUAGGGAUAACAGCAUUAUAUUUUUUAAAAGUUCAUAUUAAAAAAAAUGAUUGUGACCUCGAUGUUGAAUUAUAUUUUCUAUAUUUAAUGCAAUAAUUAUAAA